rnacentral:rRNA from 1 species
GGAUGAACGCUGGCGGCGUGCCUAAUACAUGCAAGUCGAACGCUGGAAAUCUAGCUUGCUAGAUUGAAGGAGUGGCGAACGGGUGAGUAAUACAUAAGCAACCUACCCACGAAGACUGGGAUAAUCUCUGGAAACGGGGACUAAUACCGGAUAGGUAAUCGGAAGGCAUCUUCUGAUUAUUAAAGGUUAAAAACACUGGUGGAUGGGCUUAUGGCGCAUUAGUUAGUUGGUGAGGUAACGGCCCACCAAGACGAUGAUGCGUAGCCGGCCUGAGAGGGUGAACGGCCACAUUGGGACUGAGACACGGCCCAGACUCCUACGGGAGGCAGCAGUAGGGAAUUGUCGGCAAUGGGGGAAACCCUGACCGAGCAACGCCGCGUGAGUGAUGACGGCCUUCGGGUUGUAAAGCUCUGUUGUAAGGGAAGAACGGUAGAUAGAGAAUAUCUAAAUGACGGUACCUUACCAGAAAGCCACGGCUAACUACGUG